UACGGGGGGGGCAAGCGUUGUUCGGAAUUACUGGGCGUAAAGCGUGCGCAGCGGUCUGUUAAGACCGAUGUGAAAUCCCCCGGGCUUAACCUGGGAACUGCAUUGGUGACUGGCAGGCUUUGAGUGUGGCAGAGGGAGGUAGAAUUCCACGUGUAGCGGUGAAAUGCGCAGAGAUCGGGAGGAACACCAAUGGCGAAAGCGAGGUACCUGGACUAUUACUGACACUCAGCUGCGAAAGCUAGGGGAGCAAACAGG
rnacentral:rRNA from 1 species